UUGUAGACUUGUAUCAACACACUCAUAAACGGAAGAAUGGAGAUGGAGCAUAUGUUUGUCCAAAAGCUCAAAAAGUUGUGGAUACAAUGAAUGAACUGCGAUAGACUCAAACUGACGCAUCAGAUGUAGAGCUGUGGUUGGAGGCCACCGGUGGUGUAAAGAAGGGAGGGAACGUAUAUGGCUUUGGCUCAGAUACGGAAUACUAUUUUCCUGAAGCUUCAAAGAAAUCAAAAUCUCAGGCUGGAGCAUCAUCUUCAAAUGCAACUUUGAUGGCAGAAAUUCAAUAAAUGAGGGAAGAAAACAAAAUGUUUCGGGAAGAAAACAAGAUUAUCAGAGAAGAACUUGAAAAGAUGGGUACUAUAUUUGCACAAUUCAGUGCAAAUCCUGAGUUGUUAAGUUCUUUAAACUUGAACAACUCCAGCUCACUAAAUGAUGAAACACAAGCUGCUUCUGAUGAAGAUUAAGUACUUGAUGUUUUUAUGACUUUUUUUUUUUUUGGGUGUGUAUGGCAAUAGUGCACUGCUUAAAUAUUUAUGCACAUGAUACUAUCUUUUGGUUGUAAAUAAUUUUGAUAUUUAAGUAUUUUCAUUUUGAAUUUA